GACGAACGCUGGCGGCGUGCUUAACACAUGCAAGUCGAACGGAAAGGCCCUGCUUGCAGGGUACUCGAGUGGCGAACGGGUGAGUAACACGUGGGUGAUCUGCCCUGCACUUCGGGAUAAGCCUGGGAAACUGGGUCUAAUACCGGAUAGGAGCCAUUUUUAGUGUGAUGGUUGGAAAGUUUUUUCGGUGUAGGAUGAGCUCGCGGCCUAUCAGCUUGUUGGUGGGGUAAUGGCCUACCAAGGCGGCGACGGGUAGCCGGCCUGAGAGGGUGGACGGCCACAUUGGGACUGAGAUACGGCCCAGACUCCUACGGGAGGCAGCGGUGGGGAAUAUUGCACAAUGGGCGCAAGCCUGAUGCAGCGACGCCGCGUGGGGGAUGACGGCCUUCGGGUUGUAAACUCCUUUCGCUAGGGACGAAGCUUUUUGUGGCGGUACCUAGAUAAGAAGCACCGGCUAACUACGUG
rnacentral:rRNA from 1 species